AGUGGGUGAGUUCUCCUUCUGUUUGUAGCACACCCUGUGUUCGUAUUCCCUAUAAUGGAAAAAUUAAGGGGUAUGCAUAAUUUUAAUUCAGAAAACUGUGUGUUGCCAGUGGUGGAGCUGUUGUGCCUGAUGGCACAGAUGAUAUCGAGGAACCUGAAGUGCCAGAAAUGGACGAUGACAUGCCAGAUGCUCCAGCGGCUGAAACGGUGUUGCCACACCCGUCCAGUCAUCCACGCCUAUCCGAGAUAGGAGAAAUAAACGAGAUCACGCUGGUUUACCUUUGAAUGCACCAAAGAGAGUUCGGUUUGCAUCUGGUGCCAGUCUAGCAUGAGGGGAAAAAUUGCAGUCAAUGAGUCAGCUGAUCGUGAGGAACUGGCAGCUACCUAAUCGGGCAGCGGUAAUGGGUUUAGCUAUGCAUAAUUGUGAUAGUGUGUUCCUAGAUUCUUGUAAUUCUGAUAAUGGUAUACAGUUUGCAUAUCAAGGAGGACAUAGUGACGGGAGUGCAAAGACGACCAGUACAACUCAUCGUUGUGCAUCAGCAGCUGCAGGUACCGCGAGUGGCGACAUAUCCAGGGGCAUCGUCCAGUUGGAGCCUCGGCAGUCGGCACUAUAACUGGUGUACGGACUUUGCGUUCAGCUUCCAGGCUUAGACAAGCAUAUGGGGUGUUCAUUCAGAUAGACAAUAAG